rnacentral:rRNA from 1 species
AACGAACGCUGGCGGCAGGCCUAACACAUGCAAGUCGAACGAUGUAGCAAUACAUAGUGGCGCACGGGUGAGUAACGCGUGGGAAUGUACCAUUUGGUGGGGAAUAGCUCCGGGAAACUGGAGCUAAUACCGCAUACGCCCUUCGGGGGAAAGAUUUAUCGCCAAAUGAUCAGCCCGCGUGAGAUUAGAUAGUUGGUGGGGUAAUGGCCUACCAAGUCUACGAUCUCUAGCUGGUCUCAGAGGAUGAUCAGCCACACUGGAACUGAGACACGGUCCAGACUCCUACGAGAGGCAGCAGUGGGGAAUAUUGGGCAAUGGGCGCAAGCUUGACCCAGCCAUGCCGCGUGAGUGAUGAAGGCUCUAGGGUUGUAAAGCUCUUUCGCCGAUGAAGAUAAUGACGGUAGUCGGAGAAGAAGCCCCGGCUAACUUCGUGCCAGCCGCCGCCGUAA